GAGGCUGUAACUCAGUGGUAGAGUGCUUGCCUCACACACGUGAGGCCCUGGGUUCAAACCUCAGCAUCA
rnacentral:tRNA from 1 species